rnacentral:misc_RNA from 1 species
UCUCCGUUGGUGAACCAGCGGAGGGAUCAUUACCGAGUGCAAACUCAUAACCCUUUGUGAACCUAUAUCUGUUGCUUCGGCGGCUCGCUCUCGGGCGAGCCCGCCGGUAAUAUCAGUAUCUCUGUUUGAACCCGACGAUACUUCUGAGUGUUCUUAGCGAACAGCUAAAACUUUCAACAACGGAUCUCUUGGUUCUG